rnacentral:rRNA from 1 species
GAUGAACGCUGGCGGCGUGCCUAAUACAUGCAAGUCGAGCGAACGGACGCGAAGCUUUCUUCUCUGAUGUUAGCGGCGGAAGGGUGAGUAACACGUGGAUAACCUACCUAUAAGACUGGGAUAACUUCGUGAAACCGUAGCUAAUACCGGAUAAUAUUUUGUACCGCAUGGUUCAGAAGUGAAAGACGGUCUUGCUGUCACUUAUAGAUGGAUCCGCGCUGCAUUAGCUAGUUGGUAAGGUAACGGCUUACCAAGGCAACGAUGCAUAGCCGACCUGAGAGGGUGAUCGGCCACACUGGAACUGAGACACGGCCCAGACUCCUACGGGAGGCAGCAGUAGGGAAUCUUCCGCAAUGGGCGAAAGCCUGACGGAGCAACGCCGCGUGAGUGAUGAAGGUCUUCGGAUCGUAAAACUCUGUUAUUAGGGAAGAACAUAUGUGUAAGUAACUGAGCACAUCGUGACGGUACCUAAUCAGAAAGCCACGGCUAACUACGUG